rnacentral:misc_RNA from 1 species
UGUGGGAGGGGGCUUGCCCCCGAUAGCGGUGUAUCAGUUACAGAUAUUCGACUGAAACACUGCCAUCGGGAGCAAGCCCCCUCCCACA